rnacentral:tmRNA from 1 species
GCUUUAGCAGCUUAAUAACCUGCUCUGAGCCCUCUCUCCCUAGCUUCCGCUCUUAAGACGGGGAUCAAAGAGAGGUCAAACCCAAAAGAGAUCGCGUGGAUGCCCUGCCUGGGGUUGAAGCGUUAAAUCUAAUCAGGCUAGUUUGUUAGUGGCGUGUCUGUCCGCAGCUGGCAAGCGAAUGUAAAGACUGACUAAGCAUGUAGUGCCGAGGAUGUAGGAAUUUCGGACGCGGGUUCAACUCCCGCCAGCUCCACCA